CUGUCAGAGGCAGGAAGUUGGCAGCGGUGCUGUAGCUGCAUCAUUAAUAGACAUAUUGCAACACGAGUGGGAGGGAAAACGAGAGAGCAGUGAAAUAGGAAGAAAGAUCCUCAGUGGUUUGUCAGACUAGAGCAGGGAAUGUGGAUAAGAGUGAGGGUGAAUGCAUAUUUAAAAUAGAGAAUGCAGGAGGGAGGCAAUUAGGGCAAAAGAGAAAAAAAAAGGGGAAAAUGCAAAAGACGGGGGUGCAUGUGCGGCAGUGAUGCAUCGUCUAUUUUUACCCUGUGCUGCUGUGGGAGAUAAACAUACUCAGUAGGAGCCCAGAGGCAGAGGAGAGAACACUGGUGUUAAUCACUACAGACAGCAUUGAUUAAAAAUGCAAAGGCCUCCUGGAGCGCAGGGACACUGGAGACCCAUGGUAGGCGUGGAGGACGUGUACAUGCAGCAUGCACAUGUGCAGGCCCAAUAAAGCUGCAGGUACCCAGUCUGGCUUGGCUUUAAAUGUCCUCUCAGGUCAGCAACGCAGAGAAGAUCCAGCAGGUCCGAUCGAGAGAGAAAGAGUACUGUGAUAAGCAGUUGCAGAUAGGAAACACAAAUGGAGAGAUGGUGGUGUUGGUGAUGGAGGGGGAUCUGGCAGUGUGCAAACUGGAUGAUGAGAAGGAAAGGAAGAAGGCAAGGAAGAAAGAGGAGCGAGAAAGACGACCGUGAGGUGGGAGGGGAGGCUUGUAGCCAUGACAACACAGAGCACCGGUAGGUAGGUAGCAGCUUGGGAGAAUGCUGGGGAACAUCAGCGCUCCUCUUUCUUUCUUUCUUUCUUUCUUUCUUUCUUUCUUUCUUUCUUUGUCUCGCUUACAGACAGACAGACAGACAAGCUCACAGGUCUCACAGCACUCAGAUAAACAAGCAUGAGCAACAUGGAUUCAUCAGGACAUGGCUGAUAUCCGAGGCAGGAUAUCUGGGCUUGUUACGACGGCGGAAAGUUGGAGCGAAUGCUGGAAGCGAGCACGCAUGUGUUAUACUGUAAAUCCAAAAACAGCAACAGAAGCAACAGCUGGCAGAAAAUAUAAUGGAGAAGAAGAAGCUUUGGUGAAAGCAUGAGCCAUGUGUCGCAGGGAAGCUUGGUCCUGUCUCCAGCAGUCAAUGGGCGGGAGGCAGGGUACACCUGGGACAAGUCGCCAAUCCAAUGCAGGGCAACACAGACACACACAGGACAAACAACCACACACACACACACACUCAUUCAAGGGCAAUGUAGAGAGACCAACUAACCUAACAGUCAUGUUUUUGGACUGUGGAAGGAAGCUGGAGUACCCGGAGAGAACCCACGCAUGCACGGGGAGAACAUGCAAACUCCACGCAGAAAGACCCCCAGCCAGGACGAACCCAGGACCUUCUUGCUGCAAGGCUACCAACUGUGCCACCUUGCAGCCCUGCAUCAAAAACUUCAUUAAAAAUAUCUAUAUUUGUAUAAAUGUAUUUUAAAAUAAUAAGAUUAUUAAAUUAUGUCAUAAUUUCUGCGAUACAGUCCAUCAUGAAACAAUUCAAACUGGUUAAGCUGCACGGCAGUUUAAUUGUACACCACCUUGCGCAUAACAGCAUUAGGCUUGUUGAGUGAUGGCGGGUUAUCCUCACAGAUAAAAUAAAUUCACAACACUCUGCAACAAGGAAUUAUGAAAUAAUUGAAUAAAUAGUGAGAUAAUGAUGCAGUAUAUGCUUUCAGAACAUAAUAAAUGUAUCCUUUCAUAAUAAUUUCUUCCUUUUAUUGUUUAAUUAUGCAUAUUAUAAAUUGCUGAAAUACUUCUUUCUUUAUUUAUCGAAUGUGUGUAUUUUCCAGCUGUAAGCAUUUGGCCCUUGAUAAUAAUGCUCUAUAAUCUUUAUUUACCUGAUAAUAAACAUUUGUUAAAAAAAAAAGAAAAGUGCCAUUAAUUAGUGUUAGAAAAUGAUUAUUGCAUGUAUCACAAGUAAGAAAUGGUUCUCAGAGACAACACAAUCAUGUAUUUAAUAUACAUUUAAAACCCCUUGAUGUUUUAUGUAGUUGUUUCAAAAUAAGUACACUAAUCUUCACACAUAUCUGAAGAAUGACGGUGACCAGUCUGAAUGCAAGCCUGUUUAAGAAUGUCAACACUGAAUCUAUUCAGAUAAAGUUAUAGUGUUUUUGUAUUUAUCGUCCUAUGACAACAUAUUUUACAACAGGAAUAAUAGACUGGUUUUUCUUUUGGGCUUUUGCAGAAUAACUGAAAAUAAAAUCGAACAAAACACACUGACAUCCAUCAAACCACAGAUUAUAACACUUGGGAUUAAAUAAUUAACAGUGAAUAUGAUAUACUGAAACACUUCUAACUAGACAUUACCGUGUUUAUUGUGCCAUUAAAGCCAUGUUAACUGAGAAAAUAUCUAUGUAACAUUUAUUAGCCCUUUGGCCCAAAAGUGCUGCUAGAAUCUAUUUUUUGAGCAACAAAAGCUUUACCUUUGCGCUAUUCCACAAAAACAACUGGGACACCCUAUUUUUUUGAAAUGUUUGAAGUGGGGUUAAGCCUAACUAGCUGCCAAAAUGACAAUGCAUCUCCUGUUUUUCCAUAGCUCUGUUUGAGGACACCUUGAAACUUCAUGUGUACCUUGGACCAAAUGAUGUGAAUGCUGUUGGAGAAAUUGGAAAGAGUUCUUGAACACUGCAAGAGGCGUUGUGCUAGCUGUUCCUCUCAGCAGAGAUUCUGAGGUUUGAAGAACCCACUGAUAGACGAAGCGGUAAACCGCACUGAGACCACAAAGCUUGUGCAUGUGUGCUUGAGGAUGCUGUAUGGUUUGGUUUGCAUGUAAUCCAUUUUUAUCUGUGGGACUCAGGGAUUUGCCAGUAGCUUUUCUAAGACAUGCAGUACGAGUCAUAAUGAGAAAUCCAUCUCCCCCACUUUUGUAUUUUACGCUGUUUAAUCUCUUCUUCUCAAUAUUGACAGUUUUCUCAUGGCACUUUUUAUUUUUUGUGGCAUAAUGGAAAAAUACCACCAGUGAUCUUUAUUUGAUCACCCUAAGCUGCUCUGAGAGGAACAGAUUUGUUUUAUCAGUUUGAUGUUUACUGAAUCAUCAGUGAGGGGUGCUCUCAUUGUGGUAAUCCUUUGUGCCAAUUUCAUUUAAUAUGAGGCUUAUUGUAUGGUGUAUUAAUAGAGCACAGAUAUCUUAAAAAGGAAAAUUUAAAAGAAAGAAUUCAUAAUCUGAUUUUGAUGUUUCCUGCAAAGAUGCAGAGUCUCUUCAUGAAUAUGGAAUAUUAAUAAUUGAUGGAUGUAUCUGUAUAAAUUGGAUGCUUUUUUUCAGUGCCUUAGACGACAUUUGUUGUAAAUUCUCGCUAUUUUGAGGGGAAUUGAAUUCAGUUCAAUUAAAUUCAACUGACAAAGGACUAUUACACAUUUUACCUGAUAUUGGGUUUUUGUUAUAAUUAUUCGGGUCUCAUAUAGGUUAAACACCCAAUGGCACUUCUUUGUGAUGUAGAAAACUGAGAUCAUGAUAAAUAAUAAAAGAAAAUCCACCUUAAAUCUUGAAGAAAAGAGAAAAAAACUGUUUGAGGAAAAGUGUAAAAAAAACAUAAAACAAUAAAGAUCCAAUAAACUGGG